rnacentral:lncRNA from 1 species
GAUAACCAAGGCAACGCGGUAUUUACCAGGGCAAGCAGGAAAUUGGGGCCACACCACGCCAGAACUGCUGCAGAGAUGUGCGAUGCUGUCAGCCGCCACCAGUCCCCUCUCCUUGCCACAAAACCCCAUCGGACUCCCCAGCUUUGCCUACUCGAUGGCGAGCACAUUGCAGAGCUCCUCUCGUUGAAAGCGACCCGCAGAGGCACUCCCUGAGGGCUGAUGGCAGGAAGAACUGAGCCAUGCAGGAGAGGAGCCUGGAACCAGCCCAGCUCUGCACACGCUGGGAUGCAGCAGCUUCAGCAGCAGCGUGGCACAGGACAUCACAUUACUUGUAGCAGCCCGGGGAAGGAGACAACAAAGCCUUUAUACACGACGGGUGCGUUAUCUCGCUGGCAAGAGACAAAGGAGGCAUUCUUCUAUACAUGGGCUCUAACCGUAGCACCAAAUCCAACAGCAAAAUCAACUUCUGAAUCAUUUCUGCUCGCAUCAGAUGUGCAUAGGCUGGGUUCACAUGCACCAAUAAACCCCUAGAAGUCUAUUUCCUCUGCGCAGUUUGGAAGAGCUUACCAACAGGCAAGAAAUGCAGACCUGGUGUUAGUUCUAGGGCAUCUGACAGCACAGAAAUAGAUCUGUAGCUUCCCAUCUUGCUAGAAAGCAAUUAUGACUAUAAAGCCACCGCUCUUAUUAAUAACUAAGAAUUACCAGCAGGUUCAGGAAAGUAUCUUCACAGGUUGCUUCUGCUACAAACUACAGCUGCUUUGCUGCCAUGUACAGUAGGAGUGCUUAAAGUUCAACAGUUAUUUUAAUUUUGCUUACACAAAUUAAGCUAACUACACCGCUGAAGCAAUUAAACCAGAGGAAGAUGAGGAAUGAAUUUUAAUGCUAUUAGCGAUACCCCUUCCUUCUAACUCUUACAUUUGUUUGUACAAAAAUAUUUGUGUUGGGGUACAUUUUAUUAGCUUGCUCUGAAACGUGUUGGAAACUCGGGCGGCAAUUAGACAGAUUGGUGCUAACACUGAAGGGUAAUUCACUCCACGGUGCCAUUUAAGAAGUCCUACUUAGUCCUCUCUAGAUGUGCCCCUGUCACAUUGUCCAAGGCUGCAGUGAAACACAAACGAUGGCUAUACUGACAUACACACACACAGAAUAUAAAACCCUGAACAGUUUGCAGGAAAUCAUGUAAAAUUCUGUAUUAAUGUUUGCAACCAACACAGCCACUGAGCCCCUACAGAUCUUACUGCAAGUGUACCUG